AUUGAACGCUGGCGGAAUGCUUUACACAUGCAAGUCGAACGGCAGCACGGACUUCGGUCUGGUGGCGAGUGGCGAACGGGUGAGUAACAUAUCGGAACGUAUCCAAUAAUGGGGGAUAACGAGUCGAAAGAUUCGCUAAUACCGCAUACGCCCUACGGGGGAAAGAUGGGGACCUUCGCGCCUGGCGUUAAUGGAGAGGCCGCUAUCGGAUUAGCUAGUUGGUGAGGUAAAGGCUCACCAAGGCGACGAUAAGUAGCUGGUCUGAGAGGACGGCCAGCCACACUGGAACUGAGACACGGUCCAGACUCCUACGGGAGGCAGCAGUGGGGAAUUUUGGACAAUGGGUGCAAGCCUGAUCCAGCCAUUCCGCGUGAGUGAAGAAGGCCUUCGGGUUGUAAAGCUCUUUCGCAAGGGAAGAAAACUUAGCCACUAACAUUGGUUGAGGUUGACGGUACCUUGAUAAGAAGCACCGGCUAACUACGUGCCAGCAGCCGCAGUAA
rnacentral:rRNA from 1 species